rnacentral:rRNA from 1 species
UACGUAGGGGGCAAGCGUUGUCCGGAAUCAUUGGGCGUAAAGAGCGUGUAGGCGGUUCGGUAAGUCGGCUGUGAAAGUCCAGGGCUCAACCCUGGGAUGCCGGUCGAUACUGCCGGACUAGAGUUCGGAAGAGGCGAGUGGAAUUCCCGGUGUAGCGGUGAAAUGCGCAGAUAUCGGGAGGAACACCUAUGGCGAAGGCAGCUCGCUGGGACGUUACUGACGCUGAGGCGCGAAAGCAUGGGGAGCGAACAGG